rnacentral:rRNA from 1 species
UACCAGCACCCCGAGUGGUCGGGACGAUUAUUGGGCCUAAAGCAUCCGUAGCCGGCCUUACAAGUCCUCCGUUAAAUCCAGCUGCUUAACAGAUGGGCUGCGGAGGAUACUAUAAGACUAGGAGGCAGGAGAGGCAAGCGGUACUCAGUGGGUAGGGGUAAAAUUCGUUGAUCCAUUGAAGACCACCAGUGGCGAAGGCGGCUUGCCAGAAUGCGCUCGACGGUGAGGGAUGAAAGCUGGGGGAGCAAACCGG